rnacentral:rRNA from 1 species
GAUGAACGCUGGCGGCGUGCCUAAUACAUGCAAGUCGAGCGAACGGACGAGAAGCUUGCUUCUCUGAUGUUAGCGGCGGACGGGUGAGUAACACGUGGAUAACCUACCUAUAAGACUGGGAUAACUUCGGGAAACCGGAGCUAAUACCGGAUAAUAUUUUGAACCGCAUGGUUCAAAAGUGAAAGACGGUCUUGCUGUCACUUAUAGAUGGAUCCGCGCUGCAUUAGCUAGUUGGUAAGGUAACGGCUUACCAAGGCAACGAUGCAUAGCCGACCUGAGAGGGUGAUCGGCCACACUGGAACUGAGACACGGUCCCGACUCCUACGGGAGGCAGCAGUAGGGAAUCUUACGCAAUGGGCGAAAGCCUGACGGAGCAACGCCGCGUGAGUGAUGAAGGUCUUCGGAUCGUAAAACUCUGUUAUUAGGGAAGAACAUAUGUGUAAGUACCUGUGCACAUCUUGACGGUACCUAAUCAGAAAGCCACGGCUAACUACGUG